GCAAAAUAGCGGUCAUUCCAAAACAUCCUGUAAUUAUGAAGCAUUUUUUCACGUCUUGCCUACUUCUUUACAUCAAGAGAAAUUCAGAAAUGUCUCUCAGCCCAGCUGUCCUCAGUAGCUCCAGAGUGCCGUGUUGCUGUGAGUUUCCAAGAGGGAAGGCUUUGUGACCCAGCUGGCACUUGUCCACUCCGUUCUUGGGUUACUUGACAUCCAUCUCAAUUUAAAAUACGCUGAGGAAUAAUGUAAUUGCCCACCAGGAAGCGAGGAUUAGGUUUUAAGGGCUGCUGUUACAUAUCUGUCAGACAUUAAUAUUCAUUGCUGCUAGAUGUUGUUUAGUACCAAGGCAGUCCUUGAGCUGCAGGACCCCAGAGUGAUUUACAUAGGCAUCAGUUAUGCAAUCACUUUCUGAGGGCGCUGAAGUACAAUGAAAAAAAGUAUUUGGUUGGAGUUCUGAGCUGGUUUAAAAUGCACCACUGAAAUGGCUAACAGAACAAACUCCUCCGAGUAUUUUUGGUCGUAUGAAUAUUACUGGGAUUAUAUAGAUCCAAUUCCAGUAGAUGGAAGCAAGUUGAAGGUUAAUAAAUAUUCUAUUGUCAUAGCCUUUUGGGUUGGGCUUGCUGCGUUUGUGACGUUUCUUUUCCUUAUUUUACUGUAUAUGUCCCGCUCUGGAUCAACUCCAGUAAAACAAGUGAUUGUAGGGAGCCAGAUAGAAGAAAGCAGUUCCAAUGGUGAACAGCCUCACUGCGAUGAUCUCAGUAGCCCAUACUCAGAUGUGGUUGCUUCUCAAACACCUACCUCCCUUUCAAAUGAAACUGGCAUUCAUGGAAGGAUCUGAGCUGGAGUUAAAACUGGAACAGGUUAAACAAAACCGGCAGUACAGUUCUCCUGACUGCAAAGUUCACUGCUGUGACUGUCUAUUAAACGCUGAUACCACAAACCUGAAUUAAUUCAGGAGAAGAAGAAAAAUGUCUUUCAACAAAGGACAAACAUGAAAAAUCCUGGAUGCAUAAGAGGAAGUCUUAACAACCAUAUCUGAGCAAUGUUGCUGGAGUUACCUGAUCAGCAUUUUAGAUGAACAUUUUAGAUCCUGAUGAUGAUGAUGAUGACGACUGUAAAAUUUCUCUGUCUUUCUUAAGUAAGGAUUUGGAGUCAGACUCCUCUCCCAGUUAAGUGGUGCAAAGGGUGUGCUGCUGACUGAGUGGUUCUCUUUAAGACCCAUGUGGCUGACAGCAGAUUUACUCCUCUUGUGGGAAGUCUAUACCAGUUAUGCCCUGAAUCCUGUAAAGAGUUCACCUGAAGGCACACUGAGUCCUGUUAUCCUCGGGGGUGUCUCUGCAGCAUCAGUUUUCACUGCGUUGUCUUGCUGUGAAAGCAAGAAGCAUCCCACUGAUCUUACUGAACAGGCAGCAUCACCAACAUUGUUUAUGUAUCAUGAGAGCCACAAGUCAUGCACUUCUGCUUCUAUCCUCAGGUCACACUCAUCAGUUACAUCUUAAUGAUACCUGCACUUGGUUAUCCUCUGAAAAUGAGCAACAGUGUCAAGUGCAACAUUGACAAUAAAACUUUGCUUUUAGAAGGGUUACAAUUUGCUUCACUAACUUAAAGCUCAGCAGUUCCCUCAAUGAUUGAGUAUGCCUUUUUAUUUACUUUGUUAUUGCAAAAAAUAUUUGGGCUACUUAAAAUUUGUUAAAACACUGUUCACCUAGAAUGGCCUUUAAAAAGCUAAUGGCGGCACUAAUUAUCUCAAGUAAGUGUCUUACUGAAUAAAGUCAUUAGCUUUACCUACUGCCUGUAAAUGCAGUUUUGCUAACAAUAACUGAUUACUUUUUGCUUCCAUUUUGAUAUAGUAGAUGGAAAAGAAACUGUUAAUAUCGAACAGUCUUGAAAUGGUAUCUGUUAGUUACCCAGGCAUUAGAGAGUGUUUACCAUAUUUGGUAUCAAAGGGAAAUGCUGGCAAAACCACAAAAUCAACAUUUUAUUUCUGCACGAGUUGUCUGCUUUCAGCCUCGACUGACAAGUAGUUUAACAGAAGCUACAGCCCUCCAUGAGAGCCACAGCAGCUUUUUGGUGAGGUGGAGAGGACGGGUUUAGCUCAGCUGGAGCAGAGUCAGAAGGGCCACUCGCACUCCCUCUCUCUUCAGUGGCCUCUGCUCUCUCCACCUCUCCUCACAUGUGGAGCUUCGCCAAACCCAGGCAGGACAAGACAAAGGUCCACGAGAGGUUGAGGUACACUUAGAGCUGAAGUAAGCAUGAAGCUGAGACUGCAGGGUUGAGAUGAGGAAGGCAGCAAGGGUUGGAAUGGAUUUUAAGACUGCAUAGCUAGUUGCUGGGCUGAGAACAACACAAACUUUAUUUGAAGCUUGAGAAGCUUAGGAAUUCCACUUCCCAGAGCAGGCAGCAAAAACUCCUACGGUGAAGCACUGCCAGAGCAGCCUUAUGCUGUGUGCAGGGAAUGUGGGCUAUGAUGUUACCAGAGACUGGGUGGGCUGGGCUGUGUUAAAAAUGUCUUAAACAGAAGAGACAGACCAAACCUGGUGGCAUAUGUUUAUAUUGUGGGGUUUUUUUAAUCUUCAAAUUUUUUAAUCUCUGAGAUAAACACUUCUACAGUUUGCUUUUUGAGCAAAAUACUACGGGUGUUGGGCUUGGAAACCUGUCAAGGCAUAAAGUCUGUUGAGUCAGACUGAGUCAUGGGCAAAGGGAGAAAACAAGGAAAGGCUGCAGGAACUGAGGGUGCCACAUGGACAGAGAUGUAUCAGAGAACCAAACAUUUCCACUGGUCAACUCAGAUGGCCACAGCAGCCUUCCUCUCCCCUCAGACACCUUUACCUUUUCCUGGAGCUGAGGUAGUUCUCACAGGAGACAUGAAUCAACUCCCUCGUUGGCACCAGCUCUCCCGCUGCAAACUGGGACAGUUUCCUUUAACCCCACUGCAAUCACACAGAAUCAUCAAAGACAAUCUGAAGAGAACCCAGACAUCUAGACCCAUUUCCCUCCUCAAGGAUGCAGCAACUGCAUUUCAGUCAUUCCUGCCAUGUCCAUCUACACUGAGCUAGAACAUCUCUCCUGCAAGUUCUGCACUGCCUGCCAGUGCAGUCUGAUCUGGCAUCCUCCUCCCUGACCCACAGCAGACUCGUAUCACAGUGAUUUUCAAGAAUGGCUUUUCUACACAUGGAUUCCAAGGGAAUUUCUGAAAGAUGUGAAUAUUCCCAUUCGUAACAACUGGUGUUCUUAUACUAGUUGGACUAGAACAUGACUCAAAGUACAUAACCACUGAAGACUUGUCCCCUUUCAAAUUACCUGGAAAUGGAAGGCAUAUAGUAUGAAGUAUA